AUUGAACGCUGGCGGCAGGCCUAACACAUGCAAGUCGAGCGAGCGGCGGACGGGUGAGUAAUGUCUGGGAAACUGCCUGAUGGAGGGGGAUAACUACUGGAAACGGUAGCUAAUACCGCAUACCAUCGGAUGUGCCCAGAUGGGCUUAGCUAGUAGGUUGGGUAACGGCUCACCUAGGCGACGAUCCCUAGCUGGUCUGAGCGGAUGACCAGACCAACGGGAACUAAGACACGGUCCAGACUACGAAGGUAGGCACAAGUGGGGAAUAUUGCACAAGGGGCGCAAGCCUGACGCAGCCAUGCCGCGUGUAUGAAGAAGGCCUUCGGGUUGUAAAUUACUUUCAGCGUGGAGGCGUUACCCGCAGAAGAAGAAGCGGCUAACUCCGUGCCAGCAGCCGCGGUAAUUC
rnacentral:rRNA from 1 species